rnacentral:rRNA from 1 species
GAUGAACGCUGGCGGCGUGCCUAAUACAUGCAAGUCGAGCGAAUGGAUUAAGAGCUUGCUCUUAUGAAGUUAGCGGCGGACGGGUGAGUAACACGUGGGUAACCUGCCCAUAAGACUGGGAUAACUCCGGGAAACCGGGGCUAAUACCGGAUAACAUUUUGAACCGCAUGGUUCGAAAUUGAAAGGCGGCUUCGGCUGUCACUUAUGGAUGGACCCGCGUCGCAUUAGCUAGUUGGUGAGGUAACGGCUCACCAAGGCAACGAUGCGUAGCCGACCUGCGAGGGUGAUCGGCCACACUGGGACUGAGACACGGCCCAGACUCCUACGGGAGGCAGCAGUAGGGAAUCUUCCGCAAUGGACGAAAGUCUGACGGAGCAACGCCGCGUGAGUGAGGAGGGCUUUCGGGUCGUAAAGCUCUGUUGUUAGGGAAGAACAAGUGCUUGUUGAAUAAGCUGGCACCUUGACGGUACCUAACCAGAAAGCCACGGCUAACUACGUGCCAGCCGCCGCGGUAA